UCUCCUGGCCUCAAGUGAUCCUCCCUCCUUGGCCUCCCAAAGUGCUGAGGUUCUAAGUGUGAGCCACUGAGCCCAGUUGUAAUACUUAUUAUUACAUAUCACAAGGAACUUAAUAACUGCUCUGCAGAGCUCUUUCCCAAAUAAGAAAAAUAACGCAGCAGAAGAACAGGCAGGUGUUAAUUUUUGCAUCGUUUAUAAAGGAAACAAGGCAAUAACUUGAAUGUCCAUUAACAAUGGCUUAGAUAAAUCAUGCUUUAUCCAUUUGCUGGAUAACUACUCUGUGACUGACAUGAAUGAAUGAAUGAGUGAAUGAAUGAAGAUCUGUAUCCUUUGAUACAGAAAGACGGACAAAUAUGUAAUGACAAAACACGUUUGUUCAAUCAACAUUAGCUGAGGGUCGACUUUGUCCAAACUCUCUCUGAAUGGGUUUCUCCAUGGCAGACUUCUGCCUACUCGUGGCAGAACCACCACAUAGCUUAUUAAAAUGCUAAAUCUAGGCGCCAUUCCAACCAGCACAGCUUCCAGAGAGCCCUCUCUUUCCUUGACUUCUAAACAGCAUGUUCCAGCAGAGGUUCAGGGUUGGGUUCCUCGAGGCAUCUUUCCUUACCCACCCUCUCCCUGGGCAAGCUCAUCCCCUGGCACCAGUUACCAUCCUGUGCUGAGAUUCCAGGUUUAUAGCCCAGCCUACAUGAGCCCUACACUUCUGUAACCCAGCUUCCAUUUUUUUUUUUUCCUCUCUGUUAUUCCCCAGGAACCUCAAACUCAGUGUCUCUAAAAUUACACAGAUACCUUUCCCACCCAGGUCUCUCUCUGUGUCUGCCUUAGAAAGUGGCAUGAACUUUUAUCUGGUCAUAUCAUCUUUGCCUCCUUUCUGUCCCUCCCUCUUCCUCUGCCCUGGUAUCAUUGCCAUCGCUAAGUCUCCUAAGUAUCCUAUUUCCUUGUUUUUAUGUAUAUAUGUAUGUAUGUAUGUAUUUUCACUCCAGUCAUACUCGUAUUUCAUCCUCCCGGUCCACCACACCUCCACAUAGCUCAUCUCUUUACCUGGCUCACCUGUGCCUACCUUUCAGGUUGCAGUGUAAAAGUCAUUUGUGUUAUCUCACCUUCUCUGACACCUCAGACCAGGACUGGUGGGUUUGUCAAACUCUCCUUUGACAUCCAGUAAGUAUCAAAGGUAACUCUCAGAGUUACGGAGGAAGUAUCUGACCUUCAAGACUAUAAUCUCCUUAAGAGCCUGGACAACACCAGCCUUGUCCACUACUGUACCCUGGACUUCUCACAGUGACUGAGACAUCAUGGGUACAUAUCAAUUAUUAAACAAAUGAAUGAGCAAACUGAUGGAUGCAUUUGACCUCAAAUUCCUCAAAUUCUAUAACACAAGUAAGUCUGGGUGUUUCAAGAACCAGAGGCAGUGUGUGUCUUCUUCAUUGUACCAAAAGGUUCUCUUCUGUUUCUUGGAAGAAAAAUAACUAAAUGACACAAAAAGGAAACAAAUGACAUGACUUGGUGAUAAGGAAGAAAUACUGUGGGUGGCAGUGGGAGUCACCCAGCUGAGAAAGCCGGAAUUUUUACAGAUGGCCCUGGCAUGCCCACGCUUCAGCAGAACUCCGGGAGUGCAGAUCCUCCGAGGGUAGGACGAGCUGCAGUGUGCAGGACCAUCAGACCAUGGGGCAGGAGUGGUGUGUGCAUAGGUGGCCGCCGGCAGGAGGCAUGGGGGGAUUUCUGUGUCCCCAGCAGUGUCACAGGAAGCCCCUGAGGACGCUCUCCCAGAGGAAGACUUGAAUUUCCUCAUUUCCCAGGUGGAGGUCAGUGCCCCGUUCCUGAGCUGGUAAGUACAGGUUCUCUGCGGAAGACACAGACACAAGCUCCAGCUUGUCAUUUAUACACAUACAGUUUCAAAACCACACACAUACUGGGCUGUUUGUUUUUGGUAAGUGCAUGGCAAACACAGAGAUGGGGUGCACGUGCCCGUGUAAUUUUAAACGCAUUGGAAAUAUAGAGGAGGCCAGUUCUAAUUUGAGGACUGUCUGGCUGCAGUGAUUUAUUGUACACAGACCUGAAGCGUCACCACACUGCCGUGUUGGCACAGAUGCAGGUGGCAUCAUUCUCGUGGGUUUUUUGGAGACUAGAGCCCUCUGAAGUAUGAAUAUCCUGCUUACAAGCAGACCGAAUGGCCCAGUGGUUCCGUCACCAAGCCGAUUGCUAAUCCAGGUGUUUUGCAGGCAGAACAUGAUAAUUUUGAAUAAACUCGAUAGCAACUUUUUAGUAUCAACAUAAAUCCAGCCUUUCAGGGCUGGCUGACUGGCCGUGUGGCUGGUCGGGGGGGCCGGGUGUCCAGCAGGAUCCUGUGACUUACAGCCCUGCGCUCCAUCCACUUUAAUACCAGAAGGCUUGCACACACCAUGUAUACUCAAAUGCUGAAGCUGAGACUUAAAAAAACAUUCCUCCAAAAUAGUCAUGAAGUCUAUGUGGGUUGAGGUCCCCGAGCUGACCCAUCUGGGGGUGUUCUCUUACCUGGGUGGACACAGCUGGGGACCCAGCUCCUCCAGCACUCUCUGGAGCCCUGUCAACGCCCAGGCCUGCUAGGCAGUGUCCUUGUGGUUGCCCUGAUGAUCCUGCCGUCUGAGGCUUGGCCUCAUCACAGGGCUUGGCUCUGGAGGCAGAUGAAGCAGCUUCGAUGGUGCCACUGCAGAGGCAGUGCCAGCUGCCAUUGUCCUUGGGAGCCCAAGAUCAGCAUCUCCAACUCUGUGGAGAGACCCUGGCGCUGUUCCACAGGAAGGGGUGUUGAUCACUGACUCUGGAUCGGGCACUGUGCACAGGUUUGAGGGAUGGUACCUCGUUUAUCCCCAGACCCACCCCACUCACAGAGGGAGCCAGGCUCCUGAACUGGGAAGGGACGUCUCCAGGGUCGGCCAGCUGCAGCCUGCAUUUUGCUUGGGGGGGGGGUGCAGUUCUGCUGCUCUGACUGCCUUUGGUCAUUCCAUUAGACAGAAUGUGCUAGAGGUGGAGGGGAGGGGGGACUGAGGGAGAUGGGGUAGGUGACUCGCCUCGUGCUGGGUGAUAGAUACUAGGUGGGCUGUGCUGUGUGUGCUGGUCUCACCUUCAGCUUGCAGGAGCUCUGAGCACGUCACACCCUGAAAUCACUGGGGCUGUACUCAUUGCCGGUUGGGGUGAGCAGUGGAAUGUAUUGGAACAGUCGUUCAGGCAGAGUGUGAGUGGGAACGCAGGUGCCAAGGUGACCAGUAACCCCUACGUAGAAGAUGCCAUUUCUCCCAGCUGCCAAAGAGCUGCAUUAGGAGCAGGGACCUCAUGGAACCCUGUUUUGGUUCCUCCUCCAGUCCCAGAUUCCCAGUUCUGUUUAGAAGGCAACCUCUAAGUAACAGAGCUAAUUCAUUUCAAUAUAACAAUGCACAUGUAUGUGUGUAUCCAUAUGUACGUACUUAUGAGCUCCAUGUGCAAGCAUCUGUGUGUGUGUGUGUGCGCGUGUGUGUAGUCAUCCAGUAUUUUAGGGACUUAGGGAUAAGGCAAGGCAAUUGGGAAAGUUUGCAGAUGGGAGCCUGAACUGAGUCGAAUGGUGCUUCCCCCAAAAUCGUGUCCGCCUGAAACCUCAGAAUGUGACUUCAUGUGGAACUCAAGUUUUUGCUGAUGUAGCCAGUUAAGUUAAAACGAGGUCAUACUGGAUUAGGGUAAACCCUAAGUCUAAUGACUUGUGUUCUUAUAAGAGAAAAUAGAGACACACAGGAGAGCAUGCCAGGUGAGGACAGUGGCCGAUCAAACUGAUGCACCUGCAAGCCAAGGCACCCCAAGGAGCUGGAAGGGUCACCGGAAGCUGCAAGAAUCCAGAAGGACCCUGCCCUGGAGCCUUCCGAGAGAGCACAGCUCUGCUGACAGCUUAGUUUCAGACUUUUCCCCUCCAGAACCGCGAGAGACCACAUUUCUGUUCUUUUUAGUCACUCAGCUUGUGAAGAUUUGUUACAACAUCCCGAGGAAAAUGAUAUAAGCACCCAAGGAUGGAUGAGGCGGGGGAUGGUAAAAAGGCACACGCUGUAGAGAGCUGCAGCCUUGGGGAAUUUGGGCACCAUUGUGGUAAGCAAGUGCUUACUCAAGUCUUCAGCUUAGACACAGCCCGGCCCUGGCAGCCCAGGCAAAUGACCUGGGAGGUGGCUCCCAGCAAGCUCCCAGCCCCAGGAGCCCCUUGCUCAGCCCAUGGCCAGAUAGUGGACCUCUCAGUGAUGGGCUGCGCUGCACACUGAAUCACCAGCCCCUCUUUCACUUCCCACCCUGAUUUGGGGGUUCCUGACGUAGGCUUUACCUGGUUUGGCUGGGUUCCUGAGGCCUGACCUGUCUGCAGCUCAAAUCGAUGCCUGACAAUGGAGACCCUGUGCUACAGCCGGUGGUCCCGGCCGGGCAGGGAGAACAAGGCAGGCAUCAGUUUCGGGCCCAGUUUGGCCCCUUCUUGCUGUAUGGCCUGGUGGCUUCUCUCAGCAGGGGGCACUUCUAGAGUGGGGAGAACAACCUCCCAGUGUUGAUAGAAGGAAGGCAUGUGCUUACACGUUUACUCUCUGUGGUGCCGGGGACAUGGUAAGUAAUUGAUCAGUCAAUCAAUAGCAAUCAGUCAAUAAAGGGUCACUUUGGUUAUUCCUGUCUUUGUUUUACUGAGUUUGAUUGCUAGUCUUGGUUCCCAGAGCAACUGUCUGAUUUUUUUUUUCUUUCUUUCUUUCUUUUUUUUUUUUUUUUUUGCACAUUGCAUCUUCCAACAUGUCUGCCGGACCUUUAGCCCUGGUUCCAUGAAGAUGGGGAUGAGGAUGGUGACGUUGAGAAGUCUCCCAGGCACAGAGCAACAUGCUUAGGUUUCCAGCCCACGUGGAUAAUCCGGGAUAAGUUCCUCCUUUCAAGACCCUCACCAUAAUCACAUCUUCUGGCACAUCAGGAAGCCCAUCCUGGUCUCCAUUCCCCAAAGCUGCUCUCCUGCUUGACUUCAGCCACACCCUCCCGUCACCCUCCUCCUCUGCCUGCCAGCCCCUUGGCUCUCCAGGGAGUGCGGCUCAUGGCUUGUCUCCCCAUCGACCCUCCUUCACCUCCUGCCUGUGUCUGCUGUGCCUGGUGAUGAGCUCACCUUCCUGGCUCACAGUGAGCACCUGCCCUACCAGCCCUGCUGAUGCCGGAGCACCGUGAGUUUCCUCUGCGCUCCACUGUGCCGCACGGUGCAGCCCAUCAUUGCACUUUGCUUGCCUGGAGGUCUGCGAGCCUUCUCAGGGGAAGGACAGGGCUUUUUCCCCUUGGCCUCACUGUAUUCAUUGAAUUGCAUGAAAUUGGAUGACUCUGCAGCAUUGCCUGAGUCCAGUGUUGAGAGGAAGUAGGUGAAUUCCAUCCAUGAGUGCAAGGGAAACUCUUUGGACAUGUGUUUGUAAGCUCCCCUGUCUGGUGUUUUCAUUGGUAUUUGGUCCAACACUUGCCAUAAGCUUGUGUGUUCUCUGCCGCUUUACUGAGAGGAAUGCAGUCCCUCCCAACGUCCCCCACGCUGGGCAGCCCAGAAGUGCCAUUCCCAAUGUGAGUAAUGAGCGCUUCCAACCCACCAGAGAAAUACUGCCCUCGAGAUGAAGGGGGAGCCAGGUGUCUGUGGCUAAAGAAACCCCUCCCUGCCCAGAGUACCAUUUCCAUGGCUGUGGAGGAAAGCGUGGGACCACGGCUUGCUCACAGGCUGGGGAAGGUGCUGGGGGCAUGGGUCCUUUUGACCCCUUGGUCUCUGACAAUCGGGGGAUCUUGACUGCAUUCGACACCUGUCCUGGAGGAGGCACUGCUUUGUCUCCUCUUGUCCCUCUCCAGGUGCCACUCAUGGGUACGGCAGGCCCCGUGGGUGAUGCCAUCCUGCUCGCCAUAGGAGGAGUGGAGAAGAGCUGUCCUGCAGCUGUGCUGAGGGUGUGCCGGCUCGGUUGCUGUGGAGUGACAAUUCAGGUCCUGCAGAGGAGCGAGGGGCUGUGCUCAGAGACUCCAUGAUACUCUUUGUCCUCAGGAACUCCCUGGAACGCGAUGGCUCAGGCCGGAAAGUCUUCCCCCAGAGGAGCUGAAGUGAUCACCGGCCAGCAGAGGAGCACAGUGCAUCAGUGUGUUUGCUGGCCUGGGUGUCCCUGCUGAGAGACCUCUCUGCUGUUGACCCAGUGACACCCUGACAUUGAUCCUGUAAAACGAAGCCCGGGCAGAACAGCAGCAAGGACAGCAGCAGCAGCACGGAGCUUCCUUUGCCUCUUUGUCAGACGUGUCCUCUGAGUCUGUCUCCUCCCCUUCCUGCCCUCCCUCCCACCAGUUGCUGAUAUUAUUUUAGGGUUCUAGCCAUGAAAGGAAAAUAAUUUGUGAACAACCAAAUCUCAUGCCUAAAGAA